CAGGAGACGAGGAGCUGUGUCCUACGUGUCUCUCUGCAGUAUUUCAGUCCAGUGUAGGAAGAGGUUCAGAAGUCCUCAUCAAGAGACGUGGUGGGACUUCAGUUAAAAGGGAAAUCUGCAUCAUCCUCUGUGAAGGCUGUCUGGUUGCUGUCUUAACUGUUGGUCACACACACCUGGGCCGAAAACGACUGGCAUCUGAAACCCCUUGGACUUGCUGGAGGCAGCCUAGUCUACCUGCGGAUGUUGUGAAUUAGGAGCUGGCCAAAGAGUGGGAGAGCUCCAGGAUCCCUCCCCAAAAAAGAGUGCU
rnacentral:lncRNA from 1 species